UAAGUAGAAAAAAAUAAUAAAAGAUAAAACCGGCCCAAAAGAGAGUAAAUGGCCUAAAAUAAAUACAAAUAACAAUUGAAAAAAACAAAAGAAAGAAAUGGAAACCUAAUCUAGUCACUGUCAACAGCUGGUACCCAUUAAUUAUCUGUCAUUUCAAAUCUCAAUACCAGCAGUUCAACCGAUAGCAAAUUUCAAAAAAGCUUUCAUUUCUGUUAUCCUUAUCUCUUCAAAUCUUCUAUGGAGACUCUUCAAGCUGGGUGUCUCGGCCAUUUCUCCUCUUGUUCACAUUGAAUAUGGGUGAAAACUGCUCCCUUUAGGUACUUUUCUUCUCCUUUUCUUAAUUCUUCUUUUGCAAGUUCGUGGGCAUAAAUAUUCCCUGAUCUUUGAACAAUUUGGAAGUUGAUUUCUUGGAAAUGUUGUUUUUCACUUUGAAUGUCUCGAAUAAUCGCCCUUAUAACUGAUUUAUCUGUCGCUGCUGAGUUGUAUUUUUUUAUGACCGCUUUUGAAUCUCCUAUGAUAUCUACUGAUUGAAAACCCAUUGAAAUCCCUAACUUUACUGCUUGUAACCCUGCAUGUGGCUCUGCCAUGAACGGAGACGGUAUUGUGGAAUGGAGGACUGUCUUUGAGGCUAAAAACUCACAUCUCCCUCCACACCACCAAACCUGAGGCUUAUUUGGAGUAUUUACCGUCAAAAGCUGCAUCAAAAUAAAUUGCUACUCUCGCAUUUCUUUCUUCCUGUCUCUAUCUUCUACUAUCGUUUGAGGUAAGUGGCUUUUUUUCCACCCCAUCGAUCUCUACUAUAUAACUUUGGAUUCGGUUCGAUAAAUCUCUUCCUGUUAUUAUUUUCCCCUCGUGAACUAACUGGUUUCUUGAACUCCAUAUUGUCUAAACAGCAGAGCAAAAAAGUCGACAUUGUUUGCUGUUACCCAUGGUGAAGACCCAAGUAAGCCAUUUCCACAAAUCUUGAAUAUUAGUAUUAAUGACCCAUGAUAGAUUUAUGUUUUACCAUGUCUCUGUUGUUGUAGGGCAUUGUAUGAAAACAUGGUUGCUAUCUUCUUCUGCAUUUCGACACCGAGGACAGGAAAUAUCUACAGCCACUCUUUUGAAUCUUAGAUUUGUUAAAGUAGGAAUAAAGUUCUAGGAAAUACGUCAUAUAGUGAUAGCAAUUUUUUAUGGGAGAUGUAAAGUAAAAUUUUUUUGUUUCGGCCUGUAUAAAAUAAGCACUAGGAUCCAUAAUAACCUCUUGUAAUAGUUUGUAGGCACUUCUGACUGAAAAUUCGCAAGAAUGUUCUCCUCGCCAAACUUGGAAAUCAUCAUGUUCUUCUUCUGCCGGAGGAAUUUGCAAAAUCUUCUGUGUUGUAUCCGCUUGAAAGGUAUUAACUCUUAGAUCUAUCUUUCAUUUUCUUGUUGAAGCAUCAAUUAAAUCUAAAACUAACUCUACUUCUGCAUUGUUAGAAUUGUCAUUGAUUCUCUCUGUCAACUCUCGGUACCCACCGGUCGUUCCAAACAGAUACAUGAUCUCCCCUACCGACUUGCCAACAUAAGCUAUCUUUCAGUAACCCUUUUGCUGCCCAAACGCUCUUUCAGGUAAGAAAAGGUAAAUUCCCUAACUGUGCAUUAAUAAAGUUUGAAUUUGGGUAGUAUUUGGCUUUUAAGUCCUUUGCUAAUAAAGAAUUUUGAAAAUUAAUAAGGCGCCAACCUUGCUUGGCUAAUAAAGCGAUAUUAAAUUGACCAAGAGUUUGAAACCCCAAACCACCAUUUUUUUUGUGGUACAAAGAUCCUUCCAAGCUUACCAACGAAUGCCCCUUUUGCCACGAUCUUUUUGCCACUAGAAUUUUGCAGUAAUACUCUUAAGAUCAACACAUAAAUAUUUAGGUAGUAAAAAAUAGGCCAUCGUAUACAUCGGAAUAGCUUAAAGAAUGGCCUUAAUAAAAACUUCUUUCCCAUAUUGAAUGGCCUUAAUAAAAACUUCUUUCCCAUAUUGAAUGAGAUGCUGAAUACUCUAGUUUUCAUUUCGUUGCUUAAAUCUAUCCUUUAAGUUUUGAACAAGCUCUUUCUUCUUUCUGCCCACCAUAUUAGGUAAUCCAAGAUAACAUUCUGGAUCAUUUGAGCUUCGUACUCCUAAUGUGCGAGUAACUAAUCCUCUUUCUUCCUCUUGUGUAUUAGUGUUAAAGAAAAUAGUUAACUUCUCAAAAUUGACGCACUAACCUGAAUAGGUUCCAUACUCGCGUAGAAUUGUUUUCAAUAAACAAGCUCUCCUUUCAGUAGCAUCUCCAAGUAAAAUGCAAUCAUCAGCGAAUAACAAUAUAAUACUUGUGGCCCUUUUUACUAGCUUUAACCUUUUUUAAUUGUCCUUCUUGAAUUGCCAAUCUCAUAAGACAAGAUAAGCCUUCUCCAUAGAUCAGAAAUAAAUACGGGCUCAAAGGAUCACCUUGUCGUAAUCCUCUCGUUGGUUGAAAACUUUCCCCAGCUUAACCAUUAAGUACCACUGAAUAAGAAACAGUAGAUACGCACUUCAUAAUACAAGCAAUCUAGCUAGGGUCAAAACCCAUUCUCAUUAUCAUCUCCUAUAUAAAAUUUCAUUCAACUCUAUCGUACGCUUUACUCAUGUCGAGUUUAACUGCUAUCAACCUCUUUUUUCUAAAUUUUUUUCGUUUUAGAGUGUGUAAAAUUUCAUAUGCCAAUGAUACAUUAUCCGAGAUUAACCUUCCUAGCACAAAAGCACUCUGUGUGCCAUCGAUGCAUUUUUCCAAGACUUCUCUAAGUCAAUUAGUAAUAGCCUUUGCCAUUAUUUUAAAAAUGACAUUGCAUAAGCUAAUAGGACAAAAAUAAGUGAGAUAGGUCGAAUUUGCUCUUUUAAGAAUAAGCACAAUAUGAGUAGUAUUAAUUGGACUAAGCUUCGUACCUCCAUUUAGAUGUUGAAGACAGAGAAGUGUGACCUCUUCCCCAAUGAUAUACCAGCAUUUCUGAAAAAAUAAGGUCGGAAACCCAUGUGCUUUUGUAAGCCCCAUUCUAGUAAGCACUUCCCAAACCUCUUCCUUUGUAUAUUGCACCGUGAGUCUUUGAUUAUCCUCUUCAGAUAUACAACGUUCAAUACCCGAUAAGAGAUGUUCAUAAUGUCCCUUUUCCCUAGCUUCAAAUAAAUUUUGGAAAUAAGAUUUAGCAAUUUCUGCCAUUUCUUGUAUAUCCUCCGUUUCCCUUCCCGUCAUAUUCUAUAAUUUUCAAAUACAAUUUUUCCUUUGUCUUUGUGUUGCUUGACUAUGGAAAAAGGUUGUAUUCCUAUCCCAAAAUUUCAGCUAAUUAACUCGAGCUCUUUUCUCCCAAUAUCUUUCAUCAUUCUCAAUCUCAAAAUUCAAUUGCAAUUUUGUAUCAAUCAGCUUUGCUAAAUUAUUAUCACUCAUUUUGGAUUCCAUCACCUCAGACAGCUUUGAGGAUAAAAAUUCUUUUUUCCGUUUUCUAGACUGACAAAUGCGUACAGCCCCUCUCUCUUAGCCUUUUUUUAGACAAUCCAGCUUUUGUAGUAAACCUUCUGAUGUCGUUUCCCAAAUGAGUUUUAUUUUAGCAUCGAAUAACUCCUCCAAGACCCACCAUGUCUCGAAUUUAAAUGUUUUCCAACUCCUAUUGUCUUCUGUUUUCGUGAUAAUUAGAAGAGGACAAUGGUCAGAGAACGAGUGCACCAGAUGUUAAAUGGUAGCUUCAGGGAAUAUAGACAUUCAAUUCUCGUUAGCCACACCUCUGUCCAAAUGCUCUUGGAUAUUUGUUUCAGGAAAAUUUCCUCUCUCCCAAGUAAACCAAUUACCAGAAUAACCCACAUCCGUCAGAUGACAAUCUUCUAGAACAUUUCGAAAUACUUCUAUUCUUCUUUUGUCUCUAGGCAACCCUCCUUUCUUUUCAAAGCUAUACAUAAUUUCAUUAAAAUCUCUACAAACAAUCCAAGGGAAUUCCUUAUUGCUAUAUAGAUUUUUUAAUAGAUUCCAUGAUUCAUCCCUAUCUUGUGUGUAACGGGAACUAUAAAAUCUUGUAUAUCUCUAUUUUUUCCAUCGUCAGUAUCUUCAAUAAGCACGUCAAUGUGCCUUUUUGAAAAAUUUUGAAGUGUGAUGGUAGCGUCACCUCUUCAAGCCAAACAUAAACCUCCUCUAGAUCCAUCGGGGUCCACAUCAAUGCCAUUACCAAGGCUAUAGCUUCUUCGCACUCGUUCUAUUUGAAUUAUGUUUAUCUUUGUCUCCAUGAAGAAGACCAUCUAGGGAUUAUAUUUUUUCAACGUAUGCCAAAGCUUUCGAAUUGUUCGUGGGUUCCCCAAACCACGGACAUUCUAACUUAAAAUUUUUAUUGCGAUCGGUCAGUUUACUUUUUGGCAACCUCCGAUGAUAAAAAAGUAUUGUCCAACAUCCUCUUAUUUCUUGCUGUUACAGUAUUGCCUUCUUCUCUUAUUGUAGGGUAUUCACUUUCCCCCUAGGCAUUUUUUUCCUUCCUCUCCAAUUAGCACCCUUUCCUCCAAAUCAUGUUUCAUUACAGAGUGGGUCUGUUUGGCCAAUAAAUUUUCCCCCCAUUGUGAAAAAGAGGGUAAAUUAACUUCAAAUUGAACCUCAAGACAGGGUCGAUAGAUACUCUAGUUUUUGACUUAUUUCUAUUUCUUCAUGGCCUGUAUUCUAAGUUGUGUUCGCCAUAGAGAUUUCUACAUGUGUCGUCUUCUUCAUCUUCAAUUAACCAAUUACUCUUCAUUACCAAAGGCUUUUUGGGUUGCGCUCGUAAAGAGAAGUUCCAACCCAUCACCACAACUUCCACCUCUAACGUCAUUUUUGCCUCACAAAAAGAAUCACUAUGAUCCAGCUAACCACAAUAGAAACAAAAAAGAGUCAGCCCUUCAUAUUUUAAUAUGACUUAGGAACACUUCCCUGAGAACAUAACCUGCUUUUUCCUCUUUAAUGUGUAAUGGACAUCCAAUUGAACUCGAAUUCUCAUAAAAUUCGUAUUAGCUUUCCCUAGAUUUGAACUAUCAUGGGCCAAAAAUUUUCCUAAAAAUUCACCUAGUUGCAUUGCCAAACUUUCAGAAAAAUACCCUAUUGGAAUAUCAUGGAUCUGUACCCAAAAAGGCGAAAAGAUUAAAGGGAUUUUCAAUGGAUCCUCCCCCCAUUGUAGUAUGUAUAGAACCAAUAAAUGAUUAUUAAACGUUCAUGGAAAGCCCUUCAGAACUCUGUCGAUAUCCAUAGCAUGAAAAAAUUGAAACAAAAAUCAUCUUUCUCCUAGAUUACGGAUUUGAACGCCUCUAACUGGGUGCUAUAAGUUCGCCAUGGUGCUUUUCAUUGCUAGGAAAUGAAUAACACUAGCUAUUAAAAAGCAUCCCACCAGUCGAAAAGUACUUUCUUCCUUUUCCAAACCCGGCUCAAUUUGUGCUUGUAAAACUGUUUCUUCUUCUUCAUCAAACGUUAAUUCGGCAAAUUCAUUUUCCAUUAUUGCAUGCUAGAGAUUAAGCCCCAUUGUGUGCUAUCCUGAAAGAUGAGAAGAGAUUCUAAUAGACUGCUGUAACCAAAAUUUAACUUUGAACAAAAUAACCCAAAAAACUUAAGAACAUGUAAGAGAGGCAGAUGCAUGCGUGUUAGGGUAGCAGAAUUUUUAGUUAGCUCACUUUUAUUUUGGGUUUUUAGUUUUUAUUUAUUUACAUAAUAUGUUAUAAAGUUAUGUUUUGAAGAUUGUAAAAUCGUGAAAAAUGUGUUUUUUUCCUUAUUUUAACAUAUGAAGUGAUUGUUGUCUCUAAAGAUUUGUUUUACAUGAAGGCGCAAAGUAUAUUUUUAGUUUUAUUAACAUGGUUUUUGUGUGUUUUAAUGAGCUUGAAAUCUUGAUGCAAUGAGCUUACUACUGUCAUACAAGGUUUUUGUUAGCUUGAUCAUAUAUUGUAUAAAGUUUAUGUUAUUUUGGAAAAAAGUGUAGAUAAACCUAUGAUGAAUCUGAAGAUGAUUUUUCUUUUUCUUUUUCUUUUUUGAUGUUAUAAUGCGAAAUUGAUUAGUGCAUGUAAUAUUACAUUGCACCUGAUCAAUUGGUUAACAUGUUAUUAUUAUCAUUUUUAUGUGAAAUUAGAUUUUUAUAGGUUAUUUAAUCUUUUAAAGUGGCUAAAGAUCUUUAGAAUUUGAUUUGUGAGAUUUGGAAGUACCAAAUCUUGAAGAGACAACAUGAAAAAGAAAUUCAAACUUAGACAUUAGAUGCUAAUUCAAUUAAAAAUUAGGCAAAGAAAAGAAUAAGAAAGGAGAAACAAAUUGAAAUAACUUUUUCUUGGUGGGCAAUUUUUGGAUCUUAGAAACAUGAAAUUUUAACUAACAUUAGAAAAAGAUUCAUAGGAACAAAAUCAAGAUUGAAAAAAAAUUAGGUAGCGACUGAAAAGAUAGAUGUGAAGAUGAACAAAAGGCGAUGUAUGAUGGAAACUUUUGAAGAAAAACUUCAUCAAACUCCACUAAAGGUUCUAGCCAACCCUCUAAAAAAAGUCUUAGCAAACCGAAGUGUGAAAAACAACAACCUUGAUUCAUGAAAAGAAAUAGAGUUGCAAGUACUUCUAAAAAGAUACAAGAAAAAAAUCUUGCAAAAAGAGAACUCUAGAAGUUAUUAUUCAUAAAAGAAUGAAACUAAAUCAUGUACAUAGAGGGCGUGAAUUGCCUUUUAUAUGUGAAAACUAGGAUAAAUUGAGUCCUAAUCACACUCAAAUUACCUAAAUCUCCAAUAACAGGUAAAAACCCUACAUGAUUAUAACUUAACCUAAUAGGAGGAAAUUUGGCUAGCCUAUAUGUAUAGGCUAUUUGAACCAAAUUUUUAACUAGGAAAUAUCAAAUAACUUAAUAAAUAAAUUGCCUAUAAUGAGCCAAUUAACAAACAUGCCAAAAUAAAACUUAAUAAAAUAAACUAAGUCUUAAAAGAAUAAAACACUCAAAAUGGGUUGUUCUUCAUAGGCUCGACAUUGUGCGCUGAUUUGCACAAUAAUGCACAUAAACUAAGCUUGUUAACAUCCUCCAAAUGGGUUGGUCAUCAUGGAUUGCAUUCUUGAGCCCAAGAAUGGGUUUGUGGCCUUCUGAUUCACCCUCUUUGUUUAAGAUAGAUCAAAUUCUAUCAUUUUGAAACAUUAACUCGUUUUCUUGCAUACUUUUGGUCAUAAGGUCUUGAAUGAGCAUAUUAAGCUCAAACUUAAACUGUUUGGACUUGCAUAUCAUAAUUGAGCCUUGAGAAAAAUGAAGUCUAUCUUCAUCAUGGGCUUGAGAUUAGGCCUUGGAGCUCGUAUCAUUCUCCAUUCCUCAAAACGAUUCAUCCAUGAAUCUACAAUGUCCAAGGGAGAAAGAUUAGUCACAUUAUCUCAUGCUUAGUCCCUUUCUUAUCAAAAAGUCUGCAAAAUCUUAAUUCUUGAACUCACACUUGUGAUCAAUUUUAAUCCUCUUAAUCAUUCCAAUGACAUGGCCUUUAUCAUUCAUAAAGCCUCUACAAAGUUUUCUAAAUUCAUCAGAGGUGCUAGAUUUGUCUCUAAGGAAUCUUUCCCAAGAAAACUUGAAAAUCCAUCUACACAAAUAAGCACAUAACGUUUUUCACUUAUGCCGAAAAAUAGUGGUGUCAUUGUUUGAAUGUGAACCAAUUUUUUAUGCUUUUCCCUGUGUUGCUUGCCUUUUAAAGAGUUACCACACACUUAAAGAAUGGAGCCACUCAGCUUUAGAAUCCCUCUGAUAGAAUCAUAUCGAACUAGCCUUUAAAGUUUAUAAUAGUUUAUAUAGUCAAGCUUCUCGUGCCAUAACUUUGGUCUGAAACAUUAGCAUUAUUGCAUUUGAUAGAUUGAAUCACUCUAUAGUAGUUGUAAAAUGUGUGAGCCCUGUAAUGCCCUCAACUCGACCUGGUUCUCUAGGUCCGAAUCUCAAGUGGUACUACACACAAUACUUAACCAAAUAUCAAAUAGUUAACAAACAUUCCUUGCUUAAAACAUUUUACUUAUUAAUUUAAUUAAGAAACUUGAGCUCUAAGAAUAAGAGACAGUAUUAAAAAAUAAAAUUUUAAUCCAAACUUGUUACAACACAUUACAGUAUAAAGUUUGUGAAUGGCAGAAUCUUAAGGUGUAACGUUAAACUACACUACUUCUCCCUUGUAUGCAUAAUAUUCCAAUUUUCCACUAUUCUGGCGUACUCUUGGAAUUGUCCCUCCUAGCGUAUUCUCAUACCAUACCCAUGAAACAACAACAAACAUUGUAAGUUCAAAAGAACUUAGUGAGCUUUAUCAUAAUAAUACCUUAGCAGAUAGUUUAUAAGAUUGGAAGAACAUCAGUGUGCUAGUUACCCUUCUGAACCACUUACUUCCAUUUUAGGCAGAUACAAUUCUGGCAUACACUUCCACACCAACUAUCAUACUCUUGAUAUACCAGUUCUUUCUUAAUAGUCUAACUGAAGAUCCUUUUAGACAUUUCAUAAAUCGUACGCACUUCUCAAAAGAAUAUACCUUCAGAAUCAAAUUUAUAUAAAUCAUUUCUUAACACACAAACUUAUCCUAGAACAGUUGUUCAUAGAUAUUAAUCACUAGCAGAUACAUACACAUUUGGUGAAUACUUACGCAGAUCUGAAUACCAUCAAACUACUAAUCAAAUCAUACAUUGGUUCAAUACCAUACAAACUCUCACUGAUAAUGUACUACACAGAUAAUUCAGAUGAAUUCCACAUCACUUUAUUUAGGAACCUCAGAUACUCAAGAUAGCGAUAACUCAGAUUCAAUAUACUUUCAGAAGAAGAUAUUAUACAACUCAGACAUAAUAGAUUCCAAAUAACUCAGAUUCAACCAUUUCCUAACUCAGACAAACUUGAAUUGACAAUUUCUUAUGUCUUUCAUAACCAUGAAUACACCUAUUUUCAAAACAAACAAAUUGCCAGGGUGGAUAUCCUUUUUAACUUGCAGAUACACACUUCUUUUCAGAACUUCCUUAUCUAAUUCAACCAAAUUAACCUUAGAUAUUCCAUGACCUUAUCAUAGAAGUAUCUAUCACAGAACAAUCAGAAACUACCAAAAGGAUGGAUAAGCAUACCUUGCUAAACAGAUUUAGUAGAGUGCGUCAUAAGGGCCAAACAGAAUACGCCAUAAAGGCAUCAUACAGAUUCAUGUGUUUAUUAUCCCAGCGGACUUUCAUAGAAGGUGUCAUGGGUGUCUCCUUCAUUGACUUAUACAUAAGUUCAUGUAUCGUGAUAUACCCAUUCAAUUUACACAUCAUCGAAGGUUACACCAUGAACAUUCAUACAGAUAUAUCUUGCCAUGGGUCUUAACCACAUGGCUUUGCACACAUUCAUGUAUCGUGAUCUAUCAAUCUAGUCUUCAUUUUACUGGAGGCUACACCAUAAGUGUUUCCAAAUCAUAUCACGAUAUCAUGGGUAUCAACCUCAUGGUCUUACACUUGCUUUCAUAUCGUGAUCUACCAACUGGUUAGCAAUCUAACUGUCCUACCAGACACUUCAGAAAGGGACAUUUCCCAUAAUUUAAUUACCUAGAUUUAUUUGCAUUCUAGAUUGUCUCAUACAUUUCAUAUCUUAAAUUUUACUUGCAUACUUAUCAAUCAACAUUCACCUUCAAUAAAACUUAUUAUAUAUCAUCAUAGCACUUAUUUCCUCUUAACUAUACUCGUACACUUACCUCUUAUUAUAAAUGCCAUCAUCUUAUAUACAUAUAUAUAUACAUUUUCUUAUACUUGAAAAGUUUAUAUAAGAAAGGGUGAUACCAUCUUAAAUUUGCACGAUUUUUUGUCUUUAAAUCGAUUAAUUAUUGAAUUAAUCCCUGCUAAAUUAGUGAUUUUAUAUUUUAAUUCUGUCAGGAAUGCAAUUGGGAUGCUAUGAGUCAAAAACAAGCAGAAAAUGACCAAUUUGCAGCACAGUCAAUAAAGUGAGGCCAAAUCAGGAACUUGGAAAUAAUCAAGGACUUAUCAAAUUUCUUUUGACCUUCUAAAAGCUAAAAUUAGAAGAAAAUCUUAUUUUAUUUUUAUUUAAUUCUAAUUUUUUGUAGUGGGUAGUUAGGCCAAAUUUAGUAAAUUAUUUGUAUAUAAAUAGGGCAUUUGUGGUAGCUUGAAAACACACUUGAAUUUACUUAAACAAUUAAAUUAAAUUAUUUUUCCCUUCCAAUUUUAUACGUGUAGCAUACUGCCAUUUCAUUUCCAUUUGCUUGUUUCUUUAGUUUAAUUGCUUUCCAAAUCCCUUCCUUUUCUAACUUUCACCAAUUUUCAUUCAAAUCCACUCCAUAUCUAAUCAAAGCGUGAUUAAUUUCAUGCUUCAUUAAAUUCUAACUUAGCUUUAGGCCGGUAUUCUUUCCGUUCAAAAAUUGUGAGAUACGUAUUUGUACUAAAAAUCCUUCCAAUCGGUAUUCACUAUUUCUUCUAAAUAUCAGGAUUGAGAAAUUCAUCCCUUAAAGUUAAUUCGAUUUCUAAUCAAAAAGUGCGUUGGGUUGGAGUCGUAUUUACAAACAGUUGGAGAAACAAGUCGUCCGUGCUGUAUUUAGAUCUCCGAGAACAAAUCAAAUGAGAUAGUGAUCAGGUUUAAAUGUCUCGCGUGGUUGAGGCCAUUAAUCCAAGUUGGGUUCUUUAGAGCGCAAGGUUACCGGAAUCUUGAAUGGGGAACGCGUAUAUCUCGGUUAGAUAAUCGGUAAAGGUUGGUUUGCAGGUUGUACCGGGACCAACUACGAGAGGAAAAAUUGGUGGUUAAAACAUUUUUAGUCGCUAUAACCAGCUUAUUGUUUAGGGAAGAAGACUAAUUUUCGAGGAUCGGUUCAAAGAUCGGAAUUCACCAAGUUUAAGGCUAAGGCUUACUUUUUCUGUUGUCAAAACUCAAAUUCAUUUUCUAAUUUAAUUUUACUUUUGAUCUCUUUAAUUGCUUACUUCUAUUAUCUUAAUUAUUUAAUUUCUAGACAUUUCCAACUCUCUAAUUUAUUUUUAAAAAAAGAUCGUUUGAAUUGAGUAACCGGGUUAAGGUGUUUGGGUUGUCAUCCUAGUUCGCGUAAAAAGGUUUGACUACUUCCAAAAUAAAAUAAAAAUAUUAUUAUUGCAUGAUUAAUUGAAAAUAAUACCUUGCAAAUUUUGGUUCAAACUCAAUUUAGUGAAAUGAUUUA
rnacentral:lncRNA from 1 species